rnacentral:rRNA from 1 species
UACGGAGGGGGGCAAGCGUUGUUCGGAAUUACUGGGCGUAAAGGGCUCGUAGGUGGCCAACUAAGUCAGACGUGAAAUCCCUCGGCUUAACCGGGGAACUGCGUCUGAUACUGGCGGACUUGAGGAGAGCAGAGGUGAGCGGAAUUCUCGGUGUAGUGGUGAAAUGCGUAGAUAUCGAGAGGAACAGCCAGCGGCGAAGGCGGCUCACUGGGCUCCACCUGACGCUGAGGCGCGAAAGCGUGGGGAGCAAACCGG